UACGUAGGGUGCGAGCGUUAAUCGGAAUUACUGGGCGUAAAGCGUGCGCAGGCGGUUUUGUAAGCCAGAUGUGAAAGCCCCGGGCUUAACCUGGGAAUGGCAUUUGGGACUGCAAGGCUUGAGUGCGGCAGAGGGGGAUGGGAAUUCCGCGUGUAGCAGUGAAAUGCGUAGAUAUGCGGAGGAACACCGAUGGCGAAGGCAAUCCCCUGGGCCUGCACUGACGCUCAUGCACGAAAGCGUGGGGAGCAAACAGG
rnacentral:rRNA from 1 species